GACAGAGGGGGCAAGCGUUGCUCGGAAUCACUGGGCGUAAAGGGCGCGUAGGCGGGAUGGCAAGUCGGUCGUGAAAUCCUUCGGCUCAACCGAAGAACGUCGGCCGAUACUGCCGUUCUUGAGGGAUGCAGAGGGAGAUUGGAAUUCCCGGUGUAGCGGUGAAAUGUGUAGAGAUCGGGAGGAACGACCGGUGGCGCAAGGCGGGUCUAGCUGGGCAUCUCCGUGACGCUGAGGAGCGAAAGCGUGGGGAGCGAAGAGG
rnacentral:rRNA from 1 species